GUGAAUCAUCGAAUCUUUGAACGCAAAUUGCACUCUCCGGUUUUCCGGGAGAGUAUGCCUGUUUGAGGGUAUGUUUAAAACAUAAUCGAGGCUGUUGUUGUUGUGGCGCUUCGGACUUGGGUCUUCUUCCACUUUUCGGGGUUGUAAGCGCCCUACAAUUUUUCUUACGUUUUCUUCGAUCGUGUCUU
rnacentral:misc_RNA from 1 species